UGCACUUGGAGUUAGAGAACCUUACAGCUUUUAAAGUGCCUUCCUCUUUCCAUCUUGACUCACACUUGUUACAAUUUCUCUUCUACAAAGUCAACAGUGCUAUAGCAAAGUGAAGUUUUUCCAGCUGGAGUUGUGGCUUAGUGAUAGAGGAAUUACCCGUGAUGUAUGAGGCCUCAGGUUCUGCCACCACCCCAGGUCUGCCAACACUGUCUCAAGAUACACAGGCACUUUCUGCCCGGGCAUUUCAUCCUCAGCAAUAGCAGCAGCAGUAGAACCAGGUUAG